GUGGGGAAUAUUGGACAAUGGGGGGAACCCUGAUCCAGCCAUGCCGCGUGUGUGAAGAAGGCCUUUUGGUUGUAAAGCACUUUAAGCGAGGAGGAGGCUACCGAGAUUAAUACUCUUGGAUAGUGGACGUUACUCGCAGAAUAAGCACCGGCUAACUCUGUGCUAGCAGCCGCGGUAAUACAGAGGGUGCAAGCGUUAAUCGGAUUUACUGGGCGUAAAGCGCGCGUAGUUGGCCACUUAAGUCAAAUGUGAAAUCCCCGAGGUUAACUUGGGGAGUGCAUUCGAUACUGGUUGGCUAGAGUAUGGGAGAGGAUGGUAGAAUUCCAGGUGUAGCGGUGAAAUGCGUAGAGAUCUGGAGGAAUACCGAUGGCGAAGGCAGCCAUCUGGCCUAAUACUGACACUGAGGUGCGAAAGCAUGGGGAGCAAACAGGAUUAGAAACCCGGGUAGUCC
rnacentral:rRNA from 1 species